GCCUCGGUAGCUCAGUGGCUAGAGCGGCGGUUUUGUAAACCGCAGGUCGGGGGUUCGAAUCCCUCUCGAGGCU
rnacentral:tRNA from 1 species